rnacentral:lncRNA from 10 species
CAUGUUUUCAACAAAGAAGGAUUUUAUUGUUAUUACAUAAAACAGGUGAUUUCUAGAUUUUAAAAUCACAAAUUGAAAGCAAGGCACAAUAAUAUAUAUUUCAAGAUAUAGGUACUUAGGAGGCAUCCUUUUAGUCAUCUGUUCAAUGUAGCCAUCUAUUUUACACCUACUGUCUACUAUUGUUUGAGGUCCUUGCCAAAGUAUUGCAGGCUAGUUAGGAAACAUAAAACAAUUAGAAAGUAAUCUAUGACAAGUAAGCUAUCUAUAAAUGGCAAUGAAGGGUAGAACAAAUUCAAUGAAAAUAUCUAUUUAAUCCUAGUGUUUACUGGUCUAGAAGAAUAGGCUGAGUAAAUUAGUAUUUCUCUGGCUGUUGUGGUAACACAUUGCAUGCUAUAACAGUUUUAAGUAAUUACAGGUGCAUUGAAAUUUAUCUAUGGCUUUGUCAUCAUAUUCUAAAAUGUCAUGAGUACUUUUUUCUGACCUCAAUUACUAUGAAAUUGGUUUCCAAUAUUUAAUUAACCAAGAAUAUCAAGUCUAUAGGGUAUUAUUAAGGUGAGACUUCUGUAGCCUUUUCAAUAAAGACCAGAAUUUUGGAGUGCCUUGAACCUUAAUCAUUGAUCUUUAAUUCUUAUUAAGUCAACUGCCCACCUUUUAAAGACUGAGGCCCAGGAAGAGUAAGUUUCUCUGAGACAAUGCAUACAGUACAGUGCUUCUUGGGUAUUGGCUCUAAGACCAGAUGCAAAGAAAGGCUAAAAUCCCAUUUCAUUGUUCAUUAGGUGAGAACCCUUUGUUAAGCUGUGUAACCUCUGUGCAUAGUUUCCUCAUCAGCAAAGUCAGAAAAAGUAUGUACCUGAAGGACUGAUUGUAAGGCUGGGAUGAGAGAAUCCAUGUGAUCAGCCCUCACCAACAGGUGCUGCCCAGUUCAUGAGUGCUGCUGCUGUCCUGCCCAAGUACCCAGCUUGCAGAGUGCCAGAGUUAGAGUCCCAGGGGUGUUCUCCACAGCUGCAUGCUUGAUCCAGGCCUAUCAGCAUUGUCUUUGAAUAUUAGCAAAUAAUGGAACAUGGGCCAAGGGUGAACCAUGACGAAUUUGUGUUCCAGCAGCCCUGCUUCUUUAGAAUUGACAGUCUGGCUUCGUGGUUAAUUCACAGCAUCUGAGGAAUACAUCCAAAGAGGGUGAUACUGUGGCAUGAUGGUACCAGGAUUCCAAGUUCAUUCCAGGUACAGUCGAUGCAUCAUUCACAGCAGACUCGUGAGUGUCCAUCCUGUGCCAGACUCCAUCGCAGGUGCUGGGGAUACCAGGCAGAGGAUGCAGUGUUGCCAGCUAUCAGGAAGACCUGACGGUCAACAAUCGUGCUUCCAAAGCCACCUGCAUAUUAUACUCCCUUGGGGGUCAGCUGUAAUAUACCUGUGCCUAGGCCCCAUCCUAGGCCAAUGGAAUCAGAAUCUCUGGGCCUAGGGCUGGCACACCCAUCUUUUUUAAGCCUCAAGUGCUGUUCAUGGGCAGUCAGGGCUGAGACCCCCUGCUGGAGUAGAAGGAUGGUGCAUAGGUAGCAAAACCACAAAGCAAUGGGCAAAGGCCAAGUCGCAGAUGGCAGUUGCGUAAGCUGGAAGUGGUGACAUUUCUCUUCAGUGCAUAACCACAGCUCAGAAUGAAUAUUUGUAUGGAUCAGGAGGCCAAGUGACCUGGUAUUGAGCAGUAGAUAAACGUUGCAUCUAUUUAUCACCACCCCCAAAAAACCUUUUUAAAAUGGCAAAUACCAUUCAUUAAAUGUUUAUUUUUCCUGCAUGAGGUCAAACAAAUAAUCUCAAUUUUCUGGGUGUUGGGGAUUCAAACAACACCCAAAAUGGGAUGUUGUAUACUAAGUCAAAUAAAGAAUUUUAAUAGAGACAUAAUGUCUUUCCUAACCAGCAGGUAUGAGAGAAGGGAAAAUAAGAGAAUCUGCCUGGUAACCAUCAGGGGGAAUGAAUUAACAUGUUCUCUAAGACUAUGUUAGAAGGUCAGAGCCCAGCACAGUGGUACAUGCUGUAAUCCUAGCACUUUGGGAGGCUGAGGCAGGAGGAUCACUUGAGCCCAGGAGAUCAAGGCUGCAGUGAGACAUGAUCACGCCACUGUACUCCAGCCUGAGCAACAGAGCGAGACCCUUUCUGAAAAAUAAAUAAAAAAUAAAUAAAUAAAAGGUCAGAAUUUCAUGAAGUGGGAUGGUAAAGUUGUUGUGAAAUUCUCUCCCUCAGAUACCCUCUGCCUUUGAUGGUGGGCAUUAAAAUGCUUAGACUGGAAAAAAAAAAAGCAAAUCUUUCUGGGUAAUUAAGUAAAGUUUAUGUUAUUCAUUUGAAGAUCAAGCUUUGCUUCUCCCCUUGAACACAGGUGAAAAUAACAGGAAAAUGAUAAUAACUUUAUAAGGGCCAAAUUACCACUCACAGUGGUACUUCUGAGUGUGUGUUGGAAAAUUACAUCUUUUGUCAAGUGAUAAACUCUGAUUUUUUUUAAAAAAAAAGCAAUGUUCGUGAUCUAGUAAGCACUUUACAAAAGCUAACAUGCUUUAUGAAGGUGUGUACACAGACUGCCUAACCUCACACUGCAGCCUCACUUACUCUAACACACUCUAUGGCCCUCCAUGGAGGAGCAGAAGCUUCCACCCACGGGAUGACUUCAGAUGAACGCUUUUGAUGCUGGGAGCAGCAGCCACCCAUGUCUCCAGAUACCUGUUCCUCUGACUCUGCCUCCUUGGAUUUUACAGUUACCAACAGUUCAUGAUGAUCUUCAGAAAUGUUCACAGUUUCAGAGGAGCCACAUAUUUGAAUGUUUAAAGAAAGCAAUAUUUUGCAAAACGCAAGGAUGAUCCAAGAGAGCCACAGGAGGAUCUAGCAGCCCUUUGUCGGGAAAUGAAAGUAACCAACAAGAUCAGGCCUGGAAAGACCUUCCUGGAUCCCCCAGGACAUGCUCCCUUCUGUGAAGCAGCGGUUCUCAGCCCUUGCUGCUCAUUGAAGUCAACUGGGGUGCUAGAAUAAUACUGAUGCCUGAUGUGCCCAGGCUGGAGUACAGUGGUGUGGUCAUGGCUCACUGCAGCCUUGAUCUCCUGGGCUCAAGUGAUCCUUCUGCUUCAGCCUCCAAAGCGCUAGGAUUACAAGCAUGCACCACUGUGGUGGGCUCUGACCUUUUAACAUAGUUUUAGAUAAUAUGUUAAUUCCUUGCCUCUGAUGGUUACCAGGCAGAUUCUCUUAUUUUCCUUUCUCUCAUACCUGCCAGGAUCUCAUACCUGUGCCAGAGAUUCCUGAGGAAGGAGGGGCAGUGUAUUUUGGAAAAGCUCCCAGGUGAAUCUGAAGUGCAGCCUGGGUUGGGAACCACUGAUGUAGUCCCAGAUUAGUGACUGAAAUGGGUAAUAAGGGAAGCAGUGUUGGCAGCACAUUCUACCAAGCUCAAAGUCUUGACAUGUCCUGGAGCCAGCAGAGGGCAAAGACUUCAUUGCUAAGAGAGAAGCUUUAGUGGGAGAAGAUAAAUAAGUCUGUUUCCAGGCAAAUGUCCCCUUUCUGCUGUCAGCUUCCUGGCUAUUUCUGCCCUGCCUGAGCCUGAGGAUUUAGACAUCACUUUCACGUAAAUGCCAUAAAUGCCAGCUUCCAGGUCUCUCCACACAUUAAUGACAUUGUGGUGAGAAAAGCCACUUGCAAAUGAAGUAAAUCCUUGAAAGAGUCAGACAAUAGUGGGCUUUGUAAGCUCUGCCUUACAGGAGAGCCUGCAGGGGGAUUUUCGGUGAUCUAUGCAGGGAUCAAGCUGCCAUGGCCAAGGCUCUCAGGACAAAGGCCUCAUGGAGUCUUUUGUUUGCCACCGCAUGUGACUUUACUCCUGCAUCUCCUGCAGAGCUCUCCCAGGACAGUUGAGUAAGAGUGGAGAAGCAAUUGGGGUGAACCCCAAGACUCAGCCUGAUCCGUUGAGGGGCUUUGCAGCAUAAAUUACACCUCAGAGCCUGGGGCAAAGGAGCUGUGAGGCAUUUUUCUCUACAUGGGUUAGUCAUUGGCUACCUGGGCUCUCGGUAAGAGUGAUGUGGCUCCAGAGCCCAAGAAAAGCGGCCCCUGCGGUCCUGGGGUGGGGAGCUCUUAGCAGCACAGCACUCAGAAGCUGCGAGAUGGGUGCGCAGAGCUGUGCUAGGGAUCCUGGAGUCUGGGCAAACAGCACUGCAUGUGCUCCACAGGUGAAGCCUUGCCUCCUCCAUCCGUCAGCUCAGCACCCUGUAUGGAAAUGCAAACUGUGACGUGUGCUUCUGCGUUUCCCACCUCUGAUAUGAUAGAUGGCACCGCAAUGCUUUUCUCUUCCUCAGGGCCCAUUUCCAGGCUGGACUGCAGUGGUGUGAUCUCCCCUCACUGCAGCCUCCACCUAAAGUAAUCCUCCCAGGCUAAAGCGAUCCUCCCACUUCCCACCUCAGCCUCCCAAGUAGCUAGGACUACAGGUGCAUGCCACCACACUGGCUAAUUUUUAUAUUUUUUGUAGACAGUUUUGACAUGUUGCGCAGGCUGGUCUUGAACUCCUGGACUCAAGCGAUCCGAUCUGCCCGCCUUGGCCUCCCAAAGUGCUGGUAUUACAGGCAUGUGCCACCAUGUCUGGCUCCCAUUUCCUUGUCUUCAUUGUUGUUGGUUUUUUUCUUGUUACUAUCACAGUAGAAAAUCUAGCAUGUUGGGGAAAGGGUGUGACUAAGGGAAAAGAGACCGGGAGGUCACUUCGACUAUGACCUGUGCAUCAGUUAAGAUGUUAGUGGCAGCAAGAGACAAGAUGCCCAACCACAAGGGAACCCCAACACUGGAGACUUUUUCUCAUGUGUUGGGAAGUCUGGCAGCAGGUGGUCCAGACUGUGUUGCUCAACAAUGUCAGGGCUCUUGGUGGCUGCUCUGCCAUCCUCUUGGUGGCAGGGUGGCUGCCGCAGCUCCUGGCAUCAUAUCCUCACACAAUAAUAUCCAAAAUCAGGGAAGGAGGGACAGCUUCUUGUCACUCAUUGUUCUCUAGUUAGAAAGGAAAAGACUUCCCAGCUCCAGCCACAGACUUUACUUUGCAGGAGAAAGUUCGGCCAGGUUUGCAUCUGGAGGCUGGGAAAAUGAUUAUCUGGCAUUUGAGCUUCUGUCUGCCAUGCCCUGCAAAAGAAGAGGUGCUGGUUUUUCUCCAGUCAUCCCUUUGGGUCCAUUCUCUGUCCCACUCUAUCCUCUUCCUGGCUCCGUGCCCUUGGAGGCCAAUCCUGGAUUUCAUCACUAGGCUCUGCCCUUGGACUUAUCAUUUACUUCAGCCUAAGGAAGGCACCAGGAGGAGAUAGGAAAGCCAGGGAGAGAGGCUGGGUGUUUCCUCCCUACCAAAUGCCACCUUUACCCAAGGCCAUGAAGAUACUGCCCUUUGUCACCUUCUGAGGCAUUGUUUUCCCUCCCUAUUUACACCUGCUGUCCACCUGGAAAUGAUUUCCCCUCUGAUUUUUAUUAUGAAAGUUUUCAAGUCUACCGAAACAUUAAAAAUAGCUUAAUGAACACUAAUAUCCUUCCACUAAAUUCACCAAUAGUUAAUGUUUUGCCACAUUUUUUCAAAAUAUAGAUGUAAAUAGGUAGACAGAUCGUACAUUGAGCUGUACAAUUUUGUUUUAUUCCGAACCAUGUGAAUGUUUUAAACAUUUUGACAUUUCCCUCCUAAAUAUUUCAGUGUGCUUCUCCUAAGGAUAAAGACAUUAUCCUAACAAUGCAAAAUAACAUCAAUUCAAUAAUAUCACCCAAUUACACUUUUUUGCUUAAAAUAUACUUUCUUAAUAAUCUCCAAUAUUUGAUAUUUCUUUGCAGCUGACAAAGCACUUUCUCUAUCAUUAUUUCCUUUUAUUUCCACAGUAGCCUCUGAAGCAACUGUGAUCAGCUCCCUUUUCUAGAUGAGGAAAAGAAUCAGAGAGGCUAAGUGACCAGCCAAGGUCACACAGCUAAUGUAUAGCAGUCUGGGAUUCAAAGGCAGGCCUUCCAAAUCCAAAUGCCACACACUUUCUGUGGCAUUAUAGCCCCUUCUCACAAGUGUGUUAGUUUUCCUAGAACUUAGACCCCUAAGCAAUUCUUAUAUUUGCUCCCCACCAACCUUCCCAUCCACCAAAAUUGAGGAUCCCCUUUCCAGCUUCAAAUAACAAUACUCUAGUGAUGCUGGUGAUUCACCUGGGCCUCUGUUUGAUGUGGGAAAAUGCUAGGCAAUGCGUUUGGACAUUGCAUUUUAUUUAAGCUAGUGUGAUUGAUUACAUAGUAUUUCUUAACUGCAUUAUGCCUGAUUCUCCUCUCAUUCUCUGGGCUCAGAGUGAAAGAAAGCGUCCCUCUGCAAACCCUUGGGUUUAUCCUCCUUGAUGGGGAGGACCUGGUUUAUACUUUUCAGUAAGCAGGUGAGAACGAGUGUCCUUGAAGCCAACAAGGGCAGGAUCUCUGACUCUCCUUCGCUUACCAGAUCUGCCUCCCAGCAUCUCUCGAAUCAGCCCAUGCCUCUCCUUCACCGUUGCCGCUGCACCAGUUCAAGCCACCUUGACUCUUGCUGGGAAAACACAGCAGCCCCUCACCUGGUCCCACGUGGCUGAGCAUCUCCUCCAAUUGACAGCUGAAUCUCAUCAGGCUGCCAUUCCACCCAGAUCCCUUCUGUGGGGCCCACUACAUGUAGUAAAUUACAGUGCCAGGUGUGAUGUGUGCACCUGUGUAGUCCCAGCACCUCGGGAGGCAGAGGUGAGAGGAUCACUGGAACCCAGGAGUUCAAGGCUGCAGUGAGCUAGGAUCGUGCCACUGCACUUCAGCCUGCGUAACAGAGCAAGACCUUAUCUAAAACAUAAAAUAAAAUAAUAAAAUAAAUUAAAUUAAAUAUAAGAAAAUAAAACACACAGUAGAAGGUGUGCUGUGGCCUCCGCAGCCUCCUUGGUCUGGCCUCAGCUGGCCUCACUGCCUCCUCUCAUACCAUGCCCCCCUCCUUACCCCAAGCUUAGGCCUCAUUUUCCUCAAAGAAGCCUGGGUCCUGUCUCAGAGCCUCGGGGCAUGCUUUCUUCCCUGCCCCUCGUUUCCACCCCAGUCACCUCCUGAUCCCUGUGCAUCCUUCAGAUCUCAGCUUGAGCACCAACCCUGAAGCCUGCAGCUGGAUCCCAUAAGUAUUUCCACAACACCCUGUACUUUUCCUACAUGCACCCCAGCAUCUUCAUACAAUAGGUGCUUAAUAAAUUGUCCAAUGACUGAAUCCUCACAAUAUCUCUAGAGAAGAUGGCAAGAUGCAGAGAGGAGGAGUCACGCCUGAAGCCACACAGCUGACAUCAGAGCCAAAGCAUGAGCCUCAGUCUCUCUGACCCAGAGCUACCACCCUUGCUGCCUUGGGAAGAAGGAAGCCCCCUCCUAUUCUAUCCUUGAGCUGCCUUGGCAAGGAGGGGCCCCUUGCUGCCGCCAUCCUCACAGGACACCAUCCACAUGAGGGGAUGGUGAGCUCCACUUCCACCUUUUCUACAUGUCUGCUCUUUAAACUGCACACGUUGAUUCAUUCAUUCAUUCAUUCAUUCAUUCCCUUGAUAUUACCAUUCAUUUAUUCAUCAAGUAUUUAUUGAGCAUAUUUAUCUGCAUGGCAUUGUGCUAAUCGUAAUCAUCAUAUUCACCACUGCUGAGCAGAACAGUCAGGGUGCUGCCCUCAGGGAGUUACCAUGUAGUAAAGGAGACAGAUGGAAUCACACAGAGGAAUGCACGUCUGAUUGUAGCCUGACUGGAGUGCCAUGAAGGAGACCAAGAGGGCAGGGUGAUGGAGAAAGCACAGGAUGAAGUUCUCGUCUUCCUUCCAACAGAAUCUCAGUUGCACUCAGUUGUUGCCCCCCUCGAACCUCCCUUGAGCCUCAGGAGAAACCACCCUGAUUCAGAGGUCCAGAGAAGACCUGACUAGCCCAAGGUAAUUCCGUCCCCUUGCCAGAGUGGCUUGGGCAGGGACACGGGACCUAUUUCAAUGAGGCCAAUGAGACAAAGGUAUUUCUGCUGGGGAGGCAGGGGCUUCAAGCAAAGGGUCUUGCUUGAAAGAGCCACCGGAAGAGGGCUCUCUCCUUCCUUAGGGUGUCACCGUGUCUGGAUGCGAUGCCUGGAAGUGCUACAGCCACUCGCGCCCAGCCUGAAGAUGAAACCAACCCCAAACACAGCCAAGCAGAGAGAUGGAAAGAACUAGGACCCUAAUUACACCACUGAGCAGCUAUAGCAACCAGUUCCAGAGCCCUCUGACUUCCCGCCAAAGUGAGAUGAUAAGAUACUGUUUAAUUUCUCUCUUUUAUAGCCAAACACACCAAAAUUGACACAGAGAUGUGAGCCAUACCUACUACUGUUACUGCUCCAUCCCUAGCUCCAACCACAGUGCAUGGUACAUGGUAGAGAGCCAACAAACACUUGAAGAAUGAAUGGUGCAUAUUGAGUGGGAUUUUCCAGAGGCAGACCUGGAGACAAGGCUUCAAGUGCGUGUGUUGUAUUAAGGAAAUGCUCCCAGGGGACAAUAGCAGAGUGGCAGAAAUGGGACAAGGGGGCCAGGGAGCCAAGAACAGAGAAUCAAUCGUCUAAACAGAGCCCCCUGUUUUUUGUUUCACCUGGGAGUAGCUUCUACCUGAUCCCCAGGGGAACUCUGGGAUGUCAGUGACGGCUCAGCAUUGCCCCUGAGGCAAGGGAGCUGGGCUUUCCUAAUCCCCCACUCCUCAGUCUCUGGCUAAGCGCUGUCCCCAGGGGACUUAAUCACCCAAACACUUCCCCAAGAGUGGCAUCUGCUGACCACUGGAGGCACUGGUACAGUGAAGCGACAGAAGGGAUCAGAGAGGGUCCAGGUGGAGCACAGCAAUGUGGCUGAAUAAUAACUAUAUUAAUUCAUAUAGUUAAUUCUCAAGCAAUGGCAAAGUGUAGGCAGCUUCUUGUCUGCAAACGUUUCCAUGAUAUCUCUCCUGCAGCCAGACGGGUCUUUUCCUGCCGCCUACACAGAAUGGCCAUGGAGCAUCCCCAACUCUUAUUAAAAUGGAAAAAAAAAAAGCCUUUGCAUUUCAAUCUAUUAUUGCACUUUAUGACUCAUCUUCAGGUUCUCUCUGCAAAACAUUGAAAGCCAGAUCAUAAUUUGAUGAUGAAAUAUUGAUUAUGCAUUUGUAUGCAGAGGUCUAUACUAUAUAGAUAGAAUUCCCACCCUGUAGUAUCUUCUAUUUUAAGUCAGUAUGAAGAUGGAUGUUCCCCCCAGGCAAAUUUUGAUAAGAUACUUGUGUCAAUACAAAAAGAGAUUAAUGCCAAUGUGAAUCAAUACCCGCUUAUUGGUUUGGGUUGCUUCUUCUCCACGCAGCAGCUGGCACCAAGAGGGGUUUCCAAACACCAGCGGCUCCCAGCCAAUCUGCAUAUUUCUUUAUUUAAAUCAUGAGAGUGGGAAGUGGCAAGGGAAUGGUGGGUUGGCAGGGGGCUGCCCACGCCCACUCCCAAAUUGAGAAGGGAAUGAAAAUAAAACAAACGCAACUUGUCAACAAAUCUGGGAGAAGCUUUAUUACCAUCAUUAGCAGUGUGCUUGUCCUCUGCUGCUUCCAAAAAGAAUAAACUUCAAAUGACAGAAGAAGAGCGGUCUCCAUCCUUGCUGGGUUCUCAGCGUACAGCAGGGACUGGGCUUAUCUUGACUGUGCAUCUGCUGUGUUUCCUGCCCAGCCCCCACUGCCACCUGCAAUGCCCUAUAUUUAGUGCUUCUUUAAAAUCUCAUUUAUCAUCUCCCAUCCCCACCAAAAAGUAAGGUCCAAAACCACGGAGGAUUUUUUUUUUUUGCGGGGGCGGGGGUGGUAUUUUUUGUUCACUGCUGAAUUUCCAAUGUCUGGAUGUUGAAUUAAUUUCUUUCUGCUUCAUUCAUUCAUCUAACAAAUUGAGCGACUACUAUGUGACAGGGCCCUCCAGGUUCUUGGGAUAUAUCAGUGAACACAACAGACAUUCUAGUGGGUGAUAGGGCAAUAGAGAUAAUUAAUAAGUGCCGUAUGGAAAACAUUAGAAGGCAAUAAUUGCGGCUGGGUGCGGUGGCUCAUGCCUGUAAUCCCAGCACUUUGGGAGGCUGAGGUGGCCGGAUCACCUGAGGUUAGGAGUUCGAGACCAGCCUGACAACACGGUGAAACACCGUCUCUACUAAAAAUACAAAAAAU